GAAGUCGUAACAAGGUAGCCGUAUCGGAAGGUGCGGCUGGAUCACCUCCUUUUGAGUAUGGUGAAUAUAAUUGUCUUAUCAGGCGUCCUCACAAGUUACUUGCAUUCAGGGUUUGAUGUUGGCAUAGGUUUGGGUUUAUGUUGGCGAUUUUUGUUCUGGGGGCCUUAGCUCAGCUGGUAGAGCACCUGCUUUGCAAGCAGGGGGUCGUCGGUUCGAUCCCGACAGGCUCCACCAUGAAAGUAUUUAUGGGUCUGUAGCUCAGGUGGUUAGAGCGCACCCCUGAUAAGGGUGAGGUCGGUGGUUCGAGUCCUCCCAGACCCACCAAUGUUAUAUCAAUUAUUCUGAAUGUGGUUUGCGCAUUUUUUAUGCUUAUCAGCCUUGGAGCUGUGAAGCGUUCUUUUAUAAUUUGAUGAUGUAGCAAGCGUUUGAACUUUUUAUUAAUAAUUUCUCAUUGGAAGCCUUAAGUGACAAUGUUUAUCCAUUGUCUUGUAGAUUUUGAGGCGACUUUGGGUUAUAUGGUCAAGCGAAUAAGCGCACACGGUGGA
rnacentral:misc_RNA from 1 species